rnacentral:snoRNA from 1 species
AGAGCUCUUUAUGGAGCGCUCUUAGUGGAGCGCUCUUAAUGGAGGGCUCUUUAUGGAGCGCUCUUAAUGGAGCGCUCUUUAUGGAGCGCUCGUUAAGAGCAAAGCAA